rnacentral:tRNA from 1 species
CUGGGACGGAAGGAUCGACUCC